GGAGUGAGAGAAUGGUGUUGUGCUUAUCUGCUCAUUGGUGUUAAAUCAUCACAUCUCUGAAUAUGAGUAAGACACACUAUGAUAUAUAAGAUGCAGCACAUCAAAGACAAGAUAUGAUUACCACCACGGAAACAGAAGGCAUGCUCCAGCACACAAUAAGCAUCUGAAACCAGGAUUAUCUACGCUUGAUACUUGAAAACUACCACCUAAGAAAGUAUAGUACACCGUAUUUUUUUGUUCCAAGUAAUACUAUUCUUCUCUUUUUGUAUCCUUAUCUAAAUGCAAUCUUCU